AUAUAAUCAACCUUCAACUUGUUUGAGUGGUUUGGAUGUGGGGGUUUGCUGGCCUUUCAAAAGGUUUCAGCUCCUCUGAAAUGCAUUAGCAGAACAAACCUUGUUCAUUGGUGUGAUAACUAUCUACGCUUAUGAAUGUGAGGGGCAGUUCAGCUUUCUAAUCGUCUUUGGACAAUUCAUCAUUA
rnacentral:misc_RNA from 2 species